rnacentral:rRNA from 1 species
CCUACGGGGGGCAGCAGUGGGGAAUAUUGGACAAUGGGCGAAAGCCUGAUCCAGCCAUGCCGCGUGUGUGAAGAAGGCCUUCGGGUUGUAAAGCACUUUCAGUGGGGAAGAAAGCCUUGGGGCUAAUACCCUCGAGGAAGGACAUCACCCACAGAAGAAGCACCGGCUAACUCCGUGCCAGCAGCCGCGGUAAUACGGAGGGUGCGAGCGUUAAUCGGAAUUACUGGGCGUAAAGCGCGCGUAGGCGGUCUGAUAAGCCGGUUGUGAAAGCCCCGGGCUCAACCUGGGAACGGCAUCCGGAACUGUCAGGCUAGAGUGCAGGAGAGGAAGGUAGAAUUCCCGGUGUAGCGGUGAAAUGCGUAGAGAUCGGGAGGAAUACCAGUGGCGAAGGCGGCCUUCUGGACUGACACUUACGCUGAGGUGCGAAAGCGUGGGUAGCAAACAGGAUUAGAUACCCGAGUAGUC